AUAUCCACAACAGAAAGACAGCUAUCACAUGCCAUCUUUGAGCCACUCAUUAUUACUGCAAGACAGGAUCCUUUUAUGGGUAAGGAUGAGCCACAAAACAUCUCCAAAACUACGUAUAAGGAGAAGUGGGUAGUGAGAAAGAGUGCUGACUAUACAAAAGCAACAGUUCUGCCUAUGCAUAUUUGAGAUUAUCUCCCUGUUCUAGUUGAUGAAAUUUAGGAAGAUUCAUCUGGACUUGUUGUUCGGAGACCAGUACACCUGCAUAAACAGACUUGACCGCUGUCUGCAUACUGCACUCUGUAAAGCAAGCAAUGUACUUUU
ensembl:lncRNA